rnacentral:rRNA from 1 species
CCUACGGGUGGCUGCAGUGGGGAAUAUUGCACAAUGGGGGCAACCCUGAUGCAGCGACGCCGCGUGAGUGAAGAAGUACUUCGUUAUGUAAAGCUCUAUCAGCAGGGAAGAAAAUGACGGUACCUGUGAAAGAAGCACCGGCUAACUACGUGCCAGCAGCCGCGGUAAUACGUAGGGGGCAAGCGUUAUCCGGAUUUACUGGGGGUAAAGGGAGCGUAAACGGCAGGGCAAGUAUGGGGUGAAAGGCGGGGGCUUAACCCCCGGACUGCUCUGGAAACUGGACGGCUGGAGUGCAGGAGAGGUAAGUGGAAUUCCUAGUGUAGCGGUGAAAUGCGUAGAGAUUAGGAGGAACACCAGUGGCGAAGGCGGCUUACUGGACUGUAACUGACGUUGAGGCGCGAAAGCGUGGGGAGCAAACAGGAUUAGAUACCCGAGUAGUC